rnacentral:rRNA from 1 species
AGUGAACGCUGGCGGUAGGCCUAACACAUGCAAGUCGAACGGCAUCACAUUAAGAGCUUGCUCUUACGGGUGUCGCUUGUCGGACUGGUGAGGAAUACAUCGGCAUCUACUUUUUCUUGGUGUAUCACUUAGGUAAACUUACGCUAAUACCGCAUACGCCCUACGGGUUAAAGCAGGCGCUCUUCGUACCUUGCGCGAUUUUAUGAGCCGAUGUCGGAUUCGCUAGUUGGGGGGGUAAAGGCCCAACAAGGCGACGAUCCGUAGCGGGUCUGAGAGGAUGAACAAGCAGACGGGAACAGAGAAACGGUCCAGACACUGAAGGGAGGAAGCAGUGGGGAAUAUUAGACGAUGGGGGAAAGGCUGAUACAGCAAAACCGCGUGGGUGAAGAAGGACUGAGGGUGGUAAAGCGCUUUUGUUGGGAAAGAAAAGCAGCAGGGUAAUACGCCGAGGUUAUGACGGUACCAAAAGAAUAAGCACCGGCUAAAUUCGUG